rnacentral:rRNA from 1 species
AAAAUGACUCUCGGCAACGGAUAUCUCGGCUCUCGCAUCGAUGAAGAACGUAGCGAAAUGCGAUACUUGGUGUGAAUUGCAGAAUCCCGUGAACCAUCGAGUCUUUGAACGCAAGUUGCGCCCUAAGCCAUUAGGCUGAGGGCACGUCUGCCUGGGUGUCACGC